GACGAACGCUGGCGGCGUGCCUAAUACAUGCAAAUCGAGCGGACUUUUGGGAGCCUGCUCCCAAAAGUUAGCGGCGGACGGGUGAGUAACACGUGGGCAACCUGCCUAUAAGACUGGGAUAACUUCGGGAAACCGGAGCUAAUACCGGAUAAUUCAUAUCUACUCAUGUAGGUAUGCUGAAAGACGGUUUACGCUGUCACUUAUAGAUGGGCCCGCGGCGCAUUAGCUAGUUGGUGAGGUAACGGCUCACCAAGGCAACGAUGCGUAGCCGACCUGAGAGGGUGAUCGGCCACACUGGGACUGAGACACGGCCCAGACUCCUACGGGAGGCAGCAGUAGGGAAUCUUCCGCAAUGGACGAAAGUCUGACGGAGCAACGCCGCGUGAGUGAUGAAGGUUUUCGGAUCGUAAAACUCUGUUGUUAGGGAAGAACAAGUACUAGAGUAACUGCUAGUACCUUGACGGUACCUAACCAGAAAGCCACGGCUAACUACGUGCCAGCCGCCGCCGUAAAAC
rnacentral:rRNA from 1 species